GGGCCCGCACAAGCGGUGGAGUAUGUGGUUUAAUUCGAUGCAACGCGAAGAACCUUACCAGGGUUUGACAUCCUGCGAAUCUCUUGGAAACGAGAGAGUGCCUUCGGGAGCUAGGUGACAGGUGCUGCAUGGCUGUCGUCAGCUCGUGUCGUGAGAUGUAGGGUUAAGUCCCAUAACGAGCGCAACCCUUAUCCUUAGUUACCAGCGCGUCAUGGCGGGGACUCUAAGGAAACUGCCGGUAAAAACCGGAGGAAGGCGAGGACGAUGUCAAGUCAUCAUGGCCCUUACGGGUAGGGCUGCACACGUGCUACAAUGGACAGUACAACGGGUUGCCAAGCCGCGAGGUGGAGCUAAUCUCUUAAAGCUGUUCUCAGUCCGGAUUGGAGUCUGCAACUCGACUCCAUGAAGUCGGAAUCGCUAGAAUCGCGGAUC
rnacentral:rRNA from 1 species